rnacentral:rRNA from 1 species
CCUACGGGUGGCAGCAGUAGGGAAUCUUCCACAAUGGGCGCAAGUCUGAUGGAGUAACACCGCGUGAGUGAAGAAGGUUUUCGGCUCGUAAAGCUCUGUUGUUGGAGAAGAACGUGCGUGUGCGUAACUGUUCACGCACUGACGGUAUCCAACCAGAAAGUCACGGCUAACUACGUGCCAGCAGCCGCGGUAAUACGUAGGUGGCAAGCGUUAUCCGGAUUUAUUGGUCGUAAAGGGAGCGCAGACGGUUGCUUAGGUUAGAUGUGAAAGCCUUCGGCUUAACCGAAGAAGUGCAUCGGAAACCGGGCGACUUGAGUGCAGAAGAGGACAGUGGAACUCCAUGUGUAGCGGUGGAAUGCGUAGAUAUAAGGAAGAACACCAGUGGCGAAGGCGACUGGCUGGUCUGCAACUGACGCUGAGGCUCGAAAGCAUGGGUAGCGAACAGGAUUAGAUACCCUUGUAGUC